AGCUCACCUUGAAUUGACUGAAAUGUGCCGAAAGGGAUAUCAGAACCAAGUGCACUAACAAGUCUUCAGAUAAAUCCAACUUGAGUGCCUUUAGUUUUGAAACAAUGUGAGACAUUUCCAUAAUGUACUCCUGAAUGUUUCCUUUCCCUUUAUACCUCAUUGAGACAAGAUUUGCCAAAAGUGUACUUGUUUCAGCCUUUU
rnacentral:lncRNA from 1 species